CUGACACUUGUUUAUCUGGCUGUCUUCUCUGCCCGUUGCCCCAGUGCUGCGAAUCCUGCCAGCUCUUCCACCCUGAGUUAAUUACAGUUAAAAAUUUCCUGACCUGCAAUGAGAAACGAGCAGGCCUCCCAAAGGGCCUAGAAUAACGAUUCCCACAAAGCCUUGUGGUACUGUUUUGCUUCAAUUUCAGUUUACUUUCACUUCCCGCGGUGUGUGGGCGGGGCCAAAGGAAUUCUCCAAUGGACACAUCCGCGGGCUGAGGGGGCAGGAAAAUUGGCCAAGGAGCCUCCCAGCUGAGGCGGCAAUUAGCCAGAAGGUUGCUAGGGAAACGACCCGUACACGUCUCUAAGCCGUGCUAGCUGAGCCGGGUGCAGCCCUCUCUUGCCUACUUUCUCCCGGGCUCUCUUCAUCUGGCAUCCAUCGAUGCCUCUUCCAUGUCCCCCCCAGACGCAGCACCUCGCAACCUCCACACCCAUGGCCACUAGCCUGAGGAGGCCCUCUUUCACCACCUGUUCUUCCUCAGCUACCAAUGAAGACGACAAGGACGUGUGCUGCACUUUCAAAGAUGCUUCUAUGUGCAAGUGGAUGCAGCUCUCCUACCAACUAGAAAUUGGGAAGUAGACUUUGCAGUGAGAGUCACAAGGAAGCUGCACAGCAUCAAGUAAGUGCAGCUUUGGCUGGAAGCCAGAGCCUAGUGGCAUCAGAACCAGCUCCUGGCAGAUGGCAGGGCUGAAUGCAGGAGACCUCACUGUAGGCACUGCUUUCCUUUCCUGCCCUCCUCCCUCUCUUCUUGGCCCUGGACCCUCAUUGCAGUGUGUCCUGCAAUCUUUAAAAUGAAAUAGACCCUCUCCUGUGCCCUUUCUAUCCAUGAAUGUAAUUUUCUGAACAUUAAAAAAAAAUGCCCUGGGAGUUCCUAUUGUGGUGCAGCAGAAAUGAAUCUGACUAGUGUUGAUGAGGAUGCGGAUUCGAUCCCUGGCCUUGCUUGGUGGGUCAGGGAUCUGGCAUUGCCAUUAGCUGUGGUGUAGUUUGCUAAUGCGGCUCAGAUCCUGCAUGGCUGUGGCUGUGGUUUAGGCUGACAAAUACAGCUCAGAUUCAGCCUCUAGCCUGGGAACUUCCCUAUGCCAUGGAUAUGGCUCUAAAAAGAAAAAAAAAAGAACAUUUUUUAGUAACCUGAAUUUUUAUGUAUUUUGCUUACUUCUUUAUCCCUAGGGUAAAGAAAGAUGUCUGGCCUAGAACAGAUGUGUGGUAAAUGUUUUUUGAAUGAAUCAGUAGGGGGCUGAAGUUAAUCAGUUAUUACAUAUGAGAUACUGGGCAGGGUUGGGGGGUGGAGUUGCAUUCUGAGUGCAGCCUUCAAGGACUGUGCCAAGCUGUACAUGAUGAGUUUGCUAAACUUUUCUGAGAGCUUUCCUUUGCCUAGUCCUGUGGGAGAUGCCUCACUUGCAUUGUCUCACUCAGCCCUCAGAUCCAAAUCCUGGAUUAAGUGCUAUAAUUAGCCCCUUUUUACAGGUGAGAAAUCUGAGGCUCAAAGAAGUGUAAUUUGCUUCAGGGCACCUGGCUGGAAAGGGGGUGGAGCUGAGAUAUGAACCCUGACCUCAAGACCAAGGUUAAGGUUUCCCAAUAGCUUUGAAC
rnacentral:lncRNA from 9 species